rnacentral:rRNA from 1 species
AGAGUUUGAUCCUGGCUCAGAUUGAACGCUGGCGGCAUGCCUAACACAUGCAAGUCGAACGGUAACAGGCCUUCGGGUGCUGACGAGUGGCGGACGGGUGAGUAAUGCGUAGGAAUCUGCCCAGUAGCGGGGGACAACUUGGGGAAACUCAAGCUAAUACCGCAUACGCCCUACGGGGGAAAGCAGGGGAUCUUCGGACCUUGCACUAUUGGAUGAGCCUACGUCGGAUUAGCUUGUUGGUGGGGUAACGGCCUACCAAGGCAACGAUCCGUAGCUGGUCUGAGAGGACGAUCAGCCACACUGGGACUGAGACACGGCCCAGACUCCUACGGGAGGCAGCAGUGGGGAAUAUUGGACAAUGGGGGCAACCCUGAUCCAGCAAUGCCSCGUGUGUGAAGAAGGCCUGCGGGUUGUAAAGCACUUUCGGUAGGGACGAAAAGCUGAAGGCUAAUAUCCUUCAGUCUUGACUUAACCUAAAGAAGAAGCACCGGCUAACUCCGUGCCAGCAGCCGCGGUAAUACGGGGGGUGCGAGCGUUAAUCGGAAUUACUGGGCGUAAAGAGCGCGUAGGCGGUUGCGUAAGUCGGAUGUGAAAGCCCCGGCUUUACCCUGGGAAUCGCUUUCAAUACUACUUACCUAGAGUCUGGUAAAGGCUAGCGAAAUCCCAGGUGUAGCGGUGAAAUGCGUAAAUAUCUGGAGGAACAUCAGUGGCGAAGGCGGCUGGCUGGACCAAGACUGACGCUGAGGCGCGAAAGCGUGGGGAUCAAACAGGAUUAUAUACCCUGGUAGUCCACCCCGAACACGAUGUCAACUAGCCGUUGGGCUCAUUUAAGAUUUUAGUGGCGCAUCUCACGCUAUAAGUUGACCGCCUGGGGAGUACGGUCGCAAGGCUAAAACUCAAAAGAAUUGACCGCGGCCCCCACAAGCGGUGGAUUAUGUUGUUUAAUUUGAUGCAACGCGAACAACCUUACCUGCUCUUGACAUCCAAGGAACUUUUCAUA